rnacentral:sRNA from 1 species
CUGCAACCGCACAAAAGUGGUUUUCAAGUAUAUUUUAAAUAUCACCAUCCUGGCGUGUCUUAAUAUUU